CCCUUAGAUGUUCUGGGCCGCACGCGCGCUACACUGACGAAUGCAACGAGCUUAUAACCUUGGCCGAAAGGUCUGGGUAAUCUCCAAAUUUCGUCGUGAUGGGGAUAGAUUAUUGCAAUUAUUAAUCUUCAACGAGGAAUGCCUAGUAAGCGCAAGUCAUCAGCUUGCGUUGAUUACGUCCCUGCCCUUUGUACACACCGCCCGUCGCUCCUACCGAUUGAAUGGUCCGGUGAAGCGUUCGGACCGUGGCCUUUGGACGGUUCGCCGUCUGUUGGCUGCGGGAAGUUCGCUAAACCUUAUCGUUUAGAGGAAGGAGAAGUCGUANCA
rnacentral:rRNA from 1 species